rnacentral:tRNA from 1 species
CGGCAGAUAUGCAAACUGGAUGAAGCAAGCGGUCUGUAAAACCGUCGCCCUCGGGCUUGCAGGUUCGAGUCCUGCUCUGCCGACUA